rnacentral:lncRNA from 1 species
GAUCUACUCUGUUUAGUUACACAUUAGUAUAGACAAGAACCUAUUUAGUUCCACGAUACAUGAACCUAUUUAAUUGUACGGUUCUACGAGAAAGUUCAUAUCUACUUUCCUAUCCGAAAUAGACAAGUAUGAGAAUAACAAAAUCGCGCAAAAAUUAAACUAAUUGUAAGUUGCAUAAGAAAGAGAAAUUAGUUGUUUACUAUAUUUCUUUAGAGAAAAAAGAGAGUAUUCCCUUUCAAACGAUAAUGGAUGAGUGAAAUGAUGCAAUAGAAAAGUAAAUAGAAAAGUGGGUAUGAACUUUUUUGUAGAACCAUACAAUUAAACAGGUUCUUGUAGUGUAGAACUAUGAUCAACCAAACAGGGCAGAUCACUAAACUCAUAGGUUCUUGUAUAGCUAGUGUAGACCACCUUCAGCAUUUGGCCGCAUGAUGCAGCACCUGUACUGUGAAAUAAUAAGAACUAUAAGUAUGAGAACGUCAUUUCCUCUCUGAUAAAAAUUUGUAAAAGUCCCUACGAGGAUUCAGGGGAAACCCAUAUCCCCUCUUUCCCAAUUGCAUGAGCAUAUAUAAAGCAUUGAACCUGCUUGAAGACACAAUUAAUCUACCAAAGCACAAGAGCGUCUUUAAGAAAUUUCACUCGUAAUUAUAAACUACGCAAUUCUAAGAUGGACAAAGCAUCACAGGAUAAUAGAGAAAAACAAUGUAAUCCAACUCAUACACCUACUGGUCCAGGACAUGAAGCGGGAUAUCAUGGAUCAGGGACGAAGGCGGAUUUGGAUAACCAUUCCAAUCAAAAGAAUCCUAAUAAUCCAUUGUACAAACACUGAAUUAAUUGCAUUGUAUAAGUAAACUGUAAUUGUAGUAGAAAAAUAAUGAUUUCAGUGAUGCAAUAAAUGCACAUUAAUACAAUAA